rnacentral:rRNA from 1 species
UACGAAGGGGGCUAGCGUUGCUCGGAAUCACUGGGCGUAAAGGGUGCGUAGGCGGGUCUUUAAGUCAGGGGUGAAAUCCUGGAGCUCAACUCCAGAACUGCCUUUGAUACUGAAGAUCUUGAGUUCGGGAGAGGUGAGUGGAACUGCGAGUGUAGAGGUGAAAUUCGUAGAUAUUCAGAAGAACACCAGUGGCGAAGGCGACUUACUGGACACAUAUUGACGCUGAGGUGCGAAAGCGUGGGGAGCAAACAGG